rnacentral:rRNA from 1 species
AUUGAACGCUGGCGGCAUGCCUUACACAUGCAAGUCGAACGGUAACGGGCCUUCGGGUGCCGACGAGUGGCGAACGGGUGAGUAAUACAUCGGAACGUGCCCGAUCGUGGGGGAUAACGAGGCGAAAGCUUUGCUAAUACCGCAUACGAUCUACGGAUGAAAGCAGGGGACCGCAAGGCCUUGCGCGGACGGAGCGGCCGAUGGCAGAUUAGGUAGUUGGUGGGGUAAAAGCUUACCAAGCCGACGAUCUGUAGCUGGUCUGAGAGGAUGAUCAGCCACACUGGGACUGAGACACGGCCCAGACUCCUACGGGAGGCAGCGGUGGGGAAUUUGGGACAAUGGGCGCAAGCCUGAUCCAGCCAUGCCGCGUGCAGGAUGAAGGCCUUCGGGUUGUAAACUGCUUUUGUACGGAACGAAAAGCCUUCUUUUAAUACAGGAGGGUCAUGACGGUACCGUAAGAAUAAGCACCGGCUAACUACGUG